GAUGAACGCUAGCGGGAGGCCUAACACAUGCAAGCCGAGCGGUAUUGUUCUUCGGAAAUGAGAGAGCGGCGUACGGGUGCGGAACACGUGUGCAACCUACCUUUAUCUGGAGGAUAGCCUUUCGAAAGGAAGAUUAAUACUCCAUAAUAUAUUGAUUGGCAUCAGUUGAUAUUGAAAGCUCCGGCGGAUAAAGAUGGGCACGCGCAAGAUUAGCUAGUUGGUGAGGUAACGGCUCACCAAGGCGAUGAUCUUUAGGGGGCCUGAGAGGGUGAUCCCCCACACUGGUACUGAGACACGGACCAGACUCCUACGGGAGGCAGCAGUGAGGAAUAUUGGUCAAUGGGUGCAAGCCUGAACCAGCCAUCCCGCGUGAAGGACGACUGCCCUAUGGGUUGUAAACUUCUUUUGUAUAGGGAUAAACCUACCCUCGUGAGGGUAGCUGAAGGUACUAUACGAAUAAGCACCGGCUAACUCCGUG
rnacentral:rRNA from 1 species